rnacentral:rRNA from 1 species
CCUACGGGAGGCUGCAGUGAGGAAUAUUGGUCAAUGGGAGAGAUCCUGAACCAGCCAAGCCGCGUGAGGGAAGACGGCCCUAUGGGUUGUAAACCUCUUUUGUCGGAGAACAAAACCCGGGACGUGUCCCGGACUGCGUGUAUCCGAAGAAACCGCAUCGGCUAACUCCGUGCCAGCAGCCGCGGUAAUACGGAGUAUGCGAGCGUUAUCCGGAUUUAUUGGGUUUAACGGGUGCGUAGGCGGUCCGUUAAGUCAGCGGGAAAAUUGCGGGGCUCAACCCCGUCGAGCCGUUGAAACUGGCAGACUUGAGUUGGCGAGAAGUACGCGGAAUGCGCGGUGUAGCGGUGAAAUGCAUAGAUAUCGCGCAGAACUCCGAUUGCGAAGGCAGCGUACCGGCGCCAGACUGACGCUGAGGCACGAAAGCGUGGGGAGCGAACAGGAUUAGAUACCCGGGUAGUC